ACGGAGGAUCCAAGCGUUAUCCGGAUUUAUUGGGUUUAAAGGGUGCGUAGGUGGGUUGGUAAGUCAGUGGUGAAAUCUCCGAGCUUAACUUGGAAACUGCCGUUGAUACUAUCAGUCUUGAAUAUUGUGGAGGUUAGCGGAAUAUGUCAUGUAGCGGUGAAAUGCUUAGAUAUGACAUAGAACACCAAUUGCGAAGGCAGCUGGCUACACAUAUAUUGACACUGAGGCACGAAAGCGUGGGGAUCAAACAGGA
rnacentral:rRNA from 1 species